rnacentral:rRNA from 1 species
CGAGGUAGAUAGGUCAGAGGUGGAAGUACAGUAAUGUAUGGAGCUGACUGAUACUAAUCGGUCGAGGGCAUGACCAAG